GAAUUCGCCCUUAGAGGUCGCUUCUGGCUCAGGAUGAACGCUGGCGGCGUGCCUAACACAUGCAAGUCGAGCGAAGCGCUUUACUUGAAUUCUUCGGAAGGAAAGUAUUGUGACUGAGCGGCGGACGGGUGAGUAACGCGUGGGUAACCUGCCUCAUACAGGGGGAUAACAGUUAGAAAUGACUGCUAAUACCGCAUAAGACCACAGCACCGCAUGGUGCGGGGGUAAAAACUCCGGUGGUAUGAGAUGGACCCGCGUCUGAUUAGCUAGUUGGUAAGGUAAGGGCUUACCAAGGCGACGAUCAGUAGCCGACCUGAGAGGGUGACCGGCCACAUUGGGACUGAGACACGGCCCAAACUCCUACGGGAGGCAGCAGUGGGGAAUAUUGCACAAUGGGGGAAACCCUGAUGCAGCGACGCCGCGUGAGUGAUGAAGUAUUUCGGUAUGUAAAGCUCUAUCAGCAGGGAAGAAAAUGACGGUACCUGACUAAGAAGCACCGGCUAAAUACGUGCCAGCAGCCGCGGUAAUACGUAUGGUGCAAGCGUUAUCCGGAUUUACUGGGUGUAAAGGGAGCGUAGACGGAGAGGCAAGUCUGAUGUGAAAACCCGGGGCUCAACCCCGGGACUGCAUUGGAAACUGUUUCUCUAGAGUGUCGGAGAGGCAAGUGGAAUUCCUAGUGUAGCGGUGAAAUGCGUAGAUAUUAGGAGGAACACCAGUGGCGAAGGCGGCUUGCUGGACGAUGACUGACGUUGAGGCUCGAAAGCGUGGGGAGCAAACAGGAUUAGAUACCCUGGUAGUCCACGCCGUAAACGAUGACUACAUAGGUGUCGGGUGGCAAAGCCAUUCGGUGCCGCAGCAAACGCAAUAAGUA
rnacentral:rRNA from 1 species